rnacentral:rRNA from 1 species
AUUGAACGCUGGCGGCAUGCUUUACACAUGCAAGUCGAACGGUAACAGGGUGCUUGCACCGCUGACGAGUGGCGAACGGGUGAGUAAUGCGUCGGAACGUGCCGAGUAGUGGGGGAUAACGCAGCGAAAGUUGUGCCAAUACCGCAUACGUACUGAGGUAGAAAGUGGGGGACCUUCGGGCCUCACGCUAUUCGAGCGGCCGACGUCUGAUUAGCUAGUAGGUGAGGUAACGGCUCACCUAGGCGGCGAUCAGUAGCGGGUCUGAGAGGAUGAUCCGCCACACUGGGGAUGAGACACGGCCCAGACUCCUACGGGAGGCAGCAGUGGGGAAUUUUGGACAAUGGGCGAAAGCCUGAUCCAGCCAUGCCGCGUGUCUGAAGAAGGCCUUCGGGUUGUAAAGGACUUUUGUCGGGGAGGAAAUCCCCAGCGUUAAUACCGCUGGGGGAUGACAGUACCUGAAGAAUAAGCACCGGCUAACUACGUGCCAGCAGCCGCCGUAAAAC